rnacentral:rRNA from 1 species
UACAGGGGGUGCAAACGUUGCUCGGAAUCAUUGGGCGUAAAGCGCACGUAGGCGGUCUGUUAUGUCGGAUGUGAAAGCCCUCGGCUCAACUGGGGAGGGUCACGCGAUACUGCUCGACUUGAAGGCAGGAGAGGGAAGCGGAAUUCCCGGUGUAGUGGUGAAAUGCGUAGAUAUCGGGAGGAACACCAGUGGCGAAGGCGGCUUCCUGGCCUGUUCUUGACGCUGAGGCGCGAAAGCUAGGGUAGCAAACGGG